rnacentral:rRNA from 1 species
UAGAGUUUGAUCCUGGCUCAGGAUGAACGCUAGCGGCAGGCUUAAUACAUGCAAGUCGAGGGGCAGCAGGUCUGUAGCAAUACAGAUGCUGGCGACCGGCAAACGGGUGCGGAACACGUACAGAACCUUCCUUUAAGCGGGGGAUAGCCCAGAGAAAUUUGGAUUAAUACCCCAUAGUAUUGUUGAGUGGCAUCACUUGAUGAUUAAAGAUUUAUCACUUAAAGAUGGCUGUGCGGCUGAUUAGGUAGUUGGCGGGGUAAUGGCCCACCAAGCCUUCGAUCAGUAACUGGUGUGAGAGGACGACCAGCCACACGGGGACUGAGACACGGCCCCGACUCCUACGGGAGGCAGCAGUGGGGAAUUUUCCGCAAUGGGCGAAAGCCUGACGGAGUGACGCCGCGUGUGGGACGAAGGCCUUCGGGUCGUAAACCACUGUCAGUGGGAAAGAUGGGCAUCGGCGCGAUAACCGCCGGUGCUUGACGGUACCUGCAGAGGAAGCCCCGGCCAACUCUGUGCCAGCAGCCGCGGUAAGACAGAGGGGGCAAGCGUUGCUCGGAAUUACUGGGCGUAAAGGGCGCGUAGGCGGGAUGGCAAGUCGGUUGUGAAAUCCUUCGGCUCAACCGAAGAACGUCGAUCGAUACUGCCAUUCUUGAGGGAUGCAGAGGAGACUGGAAUUCCCGGUGUAGCGGUGAAAUGUGUAGAGAUCGGGAGGAACACCGGUGGCGAAGGCGGGUCUCUGGGCAUCUCCUGACGCUGAGGCGCGAAAGCGUGGGGAGCAAACGGGAUUAGAUACCCCGGUAGUCCACGCUGUAAACGAUGAGCACUAGGUGUAUGGGGUAUCGACCCCAUGUGCCGCAGCUAACGCAAUAAGUGACCCGCCUGGGGAGUACGGCCGCAAGGUUGAAACUCAAAGGAAUUGACGGGGGCCCGCACAAGCGGUGGAGCAUGUGGAUUAAUACGUCACUAACCGUAGAACCUUACCCAGGCUUGACAUCUCGGGAACCCCUGUGAAAGCAGGGGGUGCCUCGCAAGAGGAGCCCGAAGACAGGUGUUGCAUGGCUGUCGUCAGCUCGUGUCGUGAGAUGUUGGGUUAAGUCCCGCAACGAGCGCAACCCCUGCCCCGUGUUGCCAGCGUUAAGUCGGGCACUCUCGGGGGACCGCUACGUAAGUUAGAGGAAGGUGGGGACGACGUCAAGUCAGCAUGGCCCUUACGCCUGGGGCUUCACACAUGCUACAAUGGCCAGUACAAAGGGUUCCUAACCCGCGAGGGGGCGGCAAUCCCAAAAAGCUGGUCCCAGUUCGGAUCGCAGGCUGCAACUCGCCUGCGUGAAGUCGGAAUCGCUAGUAACCGCCGGUCAGCUAUACGGCGGUGAAUACGUUCCCGGGCCUUGUACACACCGCCCGUCACGUCACCUGAGUCUGUUGCACCCGAAGCCGCUGGCCCAACUCGCAAGAGAGGGAGGCGUCGAAGGUGUGGCCGGUAAGGGGGACGAAGUCGUAACAAGGUAACCGUA